UACGAAGGGGGCUAGCGUUGCUCGGAAUCAUUGGGCGUAAAGCGCACGUAGGCGGGUUUGAAAGUCGAUUGUGAAAACCCUGGGCUCAACCCGGGACCUGCAGUCGAAACUUCAAGUCUUGAAUACUCGAGAGGAUGGUGGAAUUCCAGGAGUAGAAGUGAAAUUCGUAGAUAUCUGGAGGAACACCGGAGGCGAAAGCGGCCAUCUGGCGAGUUAUUGACGCUAAGGUGCGAAAGCGUGGGGAUCAAACAGG
rnacentral:rRNA from 1 species